rnacentral:rRNA from 1 species
GAUGAACGCUGGCGGCGUGCCUAAUACAUGCAAGUCGAGCGAACGGACGAGAAGCUUGCUUCUCUGAUGUUAGCGGCGGACGGGUGAGUAACACGUGGAUAACCUACCUAUAAGACUGGGAUAACUUCGGGAAACCGGAGCUAAUACCGGAUAAUAUUUUGAACCGCAUGGUUCAAAAGUGAAAGACGGUCUUGCUGUCACUUAUAAAUGGAUCCGCGCUGCAUUAGCUAGUUGGUAAGGUAACGGCUUACCAAGGCAACGAUGGAUAGCCGACCUGAGAGGGUGAACAGCCACCCUGGAAGUGAGACACGGUCCAGACUCAUACGGGAGGCAGCAGUAGGGAAUCCUCCGCAAUGGGCGAAAGCCUGAUGGAGCAACGCCGCGUGAGUGAUGAAGGUCUUCGGAUCGUAAAACUCUGUUAUUAGGGAAGAACAUAUGUGUAAGUAACUGUGCACAUCUUGACGGUACCUAAUCAGAAAGCCACGGCUAACUACGUG